UCUUGGACAUGCUUUGCAUGGCAGGCUCCCCGCAUGUACGUGCGGCCAACUGUCAUGGGGCUGUCUUCUCAGUGUCCCUUCGUAUAUCCAUUCUGGUAGCCAGGGGUGCCCCAAAUUCGGUUGCCUGUGCGGUCUUACCGUAGUUGGUAGCACAAUUGUCCCGCUGUAGUGUAUUUUGCUUGCUCGGUCGAUGCUAUGCAUCGAUGGGCGGCCGAGGCGUUGGCAAAUUUCGUAUGCUGCGAUGCACUGUGUGUGUCGUAACUGCUUGUCGGAUGUUUGCUGGGUCUCACGGAUAUCAGUCCCUAUGUUGAGCGGUUUGCGGGCUUCAUGCCUGCAGGCUCAUGGUGUUGCCCGUACACACGGAUUUGUUGCUGACGGUUCCUCGACGUGUUGCGUUCCAUUGGGAUUCAUGUCGAGGGAUCUCACUCGGCGCAUGUUGGUGUGCAUGUGCGUAUCCUUACCGACCCGAACGAUACGCGAUUGUCGGUCUGCAUUUCCACGGUGAG
rnacentral:misc_RNA from 1 species